UUUUAGAAUUAUCUUUUGAUUCCAAUCCCGUCUGAUCUCGGAAGCUAAGCAGGGUCGGGCCUGGUUAGUACUUGGAUGGGAGACCACCUAGGAAGACCAGGUGCUGUAGGCG
rnacentral:rRNA from 1 species